rnacentral:rRNA from 1 species
GGUGAGUAACACGUGACCAACCUGCCUUCGAGAGGGGAAUAACCUGGGGAAACUCGGGCUAAUGCCGCAUGAAGUGUCGAGCUCGCAUGGGCAUGACACCAAAGGGAGGCCUCUACUUGUAAGCUUCCGCUCGAAGAGGGGGUCGCGACGUAUCAGCUAGUUGGUGGGGUAAUGGCCCACCAAGGCUACGACGCGUAGCGGGUCUGAGAGGACGACCCGUCACAUUGGGACUGAGAUACGGCCCAGACUCC